rnacentral:rRNA from 1 species
UACAGAGGGGGCAAGCGUUAUUCGGAAUUAUUGGGCGUAAAGGGCGCGUAGGCGGCCUGGCAAGUGGAAGGUGAAAUCCCUCGGCUUAACCGAGGAACUGCCCUCCAAACUGCUUGGCUUGAGUCCGGGAGAGGUGAGUGGAAUUCCCAGUGUAGCGGUGAAUGCGUAGAUAUUGGGAGGAACACCAGUGGCGAAGGCGGCUCACUGGACCGGAACUGACGCUGAGGCGCGAAAGCGUGGGGAGCAAACGGG